rnacentral:lncRNA from 1 species
AUUCAAGGGGGCCAAAGGUUUUAACCAAUUGUGUAACCCGUUAAAAAUAACAAACUCGAUGACCAAAUAACAAAUACGGCGUAAAAUCUUAGUUUUCUUCAUAAACAAUGUUAUCUUAUUCAACGUCAAAUUUCCACGGGAGACAUUAGUCACAUAGUAAACACUUUUGUUUAUAAUUUUCUCUCUAUUUUGUUAUCGAUUUUCUGGAAACGAGGACAAAUUCGGUUACUGGGUACACAUACACUUUGUACUCUUCGGUCUUUCGAAUUUGUUAUUCAUUGAGUCGAAUUGUUCAUCGUUGGCUGACUAUCGAUGGACGAGCAUCGAAGCUGACCAUGACAAAGAAGUUUUUAAUCUGAGAAUAAUGUGUUACAUCGUGUAGCAAAUGUAGAAUAUUUUGUUCUUUUUCUUUUUCUUUCUACGAUAAGAUAGCGAUAAUAAUUUUUGGCUACGAAUUAGAGAUAAUACAGCAAGUCGUUUCUUAAUAUUUUGCAUGGGAAAGGCGAUUAGCGUAGCGGCACAUAAGUCAGAGGACAAUUCAAAUCAUGUUGUUGUCUUGCCUCGGAGUAUCAAGACCGUUAGAUUAUAAGUAACGUAAGAACAAAUAGAAUCCGGACGAAACAAUGUCACCGCUAUAAGCAACCGUCGAAUAAAGACGAAUUCGAAUGUCCUGACCUGUAUAAAACCUGGACGCGAUCGCGAGCGACAGUACAUAUCGAGUAUCUAACGAGCGUCUAUCGAGUUACGCGACGAGCAUUUACGAGUAUAUAUUCCGCGAUUUUAUUUUGCGAUUUAUACUUCGUACUAACGGCUCGCGUUUACGGCUGUGUAUUAAUUUAUCGCUUUAAAUAUGUUCGACGGUUACAACAACAAGUAAUCUCGUCAUCAGUCCUCGCGUACCUACGUCCCCUUUACAUAAACAUCUACAGCAGUAUUAGUUUGUGCGAAAAGUUUCUAACGUUUUAAGAGGAAAUAAUAGACGCAAGGUUUAUUGUUUUAUAUUAUUUCGUCGAAUUACGUACGAUCAAUUUUGUUCUGUUUCGCAGAUUUACUUUCACGUUUGUACGAAGCUGCACUGUUGUAAAAGCACGUUUGCGAAAGAAAGACAGAAGAAGGACGACUUAAUACGUUUAGACGAUCGAUAACGGAAAAUCGUCUAGCAUUCAAGAUUAUUUUAUAAUAUUAGCUAUUUUUAUACAAUCCGUAGUCGUAAUUCCGGUAUCGGUUAUCAGCACGUGUGAUUAGUGGAAAUAUCGAGUUAAGAACUAAUUAAAACAAAUCGUACAGGUAUUAGCAGGGAAAAUAUAUAAAACAAGUAAGUACGAACACUGCGACGAUAUUUCCUAACACGUUGAGAAAACAGGUCUACACUAACGCAAACAUCGAUUCAGAGAAUCUGUACAUACGUUCCAGUAAACAUUUCUUUAUAAAUAUUUGAUCGCUAAUAUUGAACAUGUUUAAUGUUCCAUCUUCAUUAGUUGUGCGCUUUUAUUUCCACGAGUCUUGCAAGCACCUUUAAUCGACCAACCUACAAGAUUCAUCUAAUAUUUGCACCACUGGUAUUAUUUACAAUUUUCAACGAGUAAUUUAUCAUCUGCUUACGAACCACAAAAAUAUUAUCACAAAUACAAAAAUAUUUAUAGAAGUUUUACUUCUUUUACGAUCCUGUCCCUCGCUACCUUUUCACUAUUUUGCCAUUUCCUUUUCUUUCUCCUCCAUGUAAUUACUCGAUUCACCGAACUAUCUUUUCAUUGUUCUUUGAAACGCUGAAAACCAGGAUAUAUACGUAGCUAGGGAUACAAAGGAAGAUUUAUUAAACGACAUUCCCAUAUUAUCCUACGAUAUCCCAUUUGUAUUUCUUCAACGACAACAAAAAUCUUAAUCUCCGGUAGAAACUUUGCGAACCCACAUUUCCAAGAACCAAGUAAUUUACCAACAGGAAUUUUCCGUCUAUUAACCCUUUUCCGUCUAUUAAUCCUUUUCCGUCUAUUAACCCUUUUCCGUCUAUUAAACCUACCGUCAAUAAAAGUACCGUCUAUUAAAUAACCAAAACAUCGUAAAACACCGUAAACCGUUAUCGUUUUUAAAUUGCAAGUAAUUUGGAUAAAAAUUAUGGCUAGCUAUCCUCGCGGCUAUCACCCCGUCCAUUAGUUCAAACAACGGAGAAAAGCAAAUGAGAUAACUACCGGCGAUAAGACUAAUUAAAUUCGUGGUACAACAAAGUUUUUGUUCGAGGAAACGAACGGCCGAAGAUUUUUCGAUAUUUUCCAACGAGAAAGGGCGAUCCUGUGUCGCGGGGCGCGUGUAUAAAAGCAGCACGCUUCGGAAUCGAUUGUACAAACAAGAACGUCGCUAGUGUAUGUGUGUGUGUGUGUGUGUGUGUGUGUGUAUGUAUGCGCGCACCCUCAGCCCCUGGGUGCCGAUCUUUCGUUAAAUUUCCGUUUCAUCGUUUCCGUGCAAACGUACCGCGAAAGGUAAAAGUUUUAAGCAGGCCAUCAGGCCAAACCUGAAAAACGUUUGAUUUUCGUCGUUCCUCUGCCUCGUUACUCAUUCCCAUGCCCCUCUUCUCGAACACACCGAUACUUCCUACGAACGACCGGUGGAAAACACAUUUCUAUUUAAUUGACGAGGAAUCGGUGGAAACGAAACGCGAAAGCUUCCUUCCUCUCGUUUAUUUUCCACCUUUUUAUCUUUCUUCUUCCUUCGAAGUUUCACUCGUUACAGCUAUCCUAUGUCCCGUGAUAUCGCUGUUGUCAUCGAAUAUAGUCAAAGUGUUAGGUUGUCCGAAAAGUGUCUUCCUUUCGCAGACGUGUUUUUUACAACAGUGCGUUUUUAUACAAACGUGAAAGCAAGUCUGUGAAAUGUCGCGGUGUCUAUCUCGACAGAACAAAACGGAUCGUACGUAAUUCGAGAGAAUAAUAUAAAAGAAAAAACGUCGCGCGUUUAUUAUUUCCUCAUAGAACGAAAGAAACUUUUCGGACAACCUAAUAGAAAAUUCCAUCUAUUUGCUCCUUUCGUUCGAACUUUUCUUAUCGGAUAAUAAAUAGAUUAUCGUCGUUGGAUCGACGGCAUUUCUGCUUCUUCCGAUUGAGUUUCACUGCGAAUACCAUCUCGUCCUUAAGAGAUAUUUCAUUGUGUAACUUUUGAGAAUAUUUUCUUACACGCAAUAAGAUUAGACGGGACGAGGUUUAUCUUUAUUUGUCAGAUUUUCUUCAACUUUGCAAGAUGUUUUAAGAUUAGGACAGUUAGAGAGAAACAUUUUUAAUCAAAACGGAAAGCGUAGAUAAAAAUUUUCAUCGACGUCAUUUUUAAGAAUAUCCAUUAAUCCCUGCAUUUACGUGUUUUUGCCAAACGAGAGACGCUCCGUGACAUUCUUUGGCGACUGAAAUCGGUCGUUUGCGCCAUCCCAAUAAAAUUUUUCAUGACGAUGAUAAUGUAAACUCACAUUUAAUUCAGUUUCUUGCUGGCAAAAAUCAAGUUUUAUGAACAUGGAAUUAUGACACUGCCCGAAAGAUGGCAAAAGGUCAUCGACGAAAACGAACAAUACCUAAUCGAAUGGAGCUAUGUUUUUAAGCAAAAAUUUGGAAUUUUCCUUAUUUAAAAUACGCAAUCGCUUAGUUGCCAACCCUCGACGUCGCGUCAAUCGGUAGCCGCAAUUUAAUUAACGUUACCGAUCAUCGUAACGAUCAUUCACCAUCGAUAAAAGAUCGAAUUUCUAUCUUUUACCAUCUUAAAGAGUAACCCUGUUUCUCUAACCAGCUAUUUUUCUACCGAGAUCUGGCGAAAAAUCUCGAUACCUGAACGUGUCUCUUGAAAAACCAGACGAAUCAGACUCUCGUUACGUGACGUAAAAAUUGUUAAGGGUGUAACACGAAGUAAAGAACGAUCGAUGAGCACGUGGAAAGAGACAGCAGGUGUUGGAUGAGCGUGGCCGAUCAAAUGGCUCGAAUUGGCAGCGAUUUCUCGACUGACAACUCACCCCCUUCUUGUUUCAGUCAAUUUUAAUAAUAUCAGCCCGUUCUGUACGCCUUCGUGCACGAUGACUCGCACGAUUUUACGACGGCUUUCAAUUAUCCGGGGAACCAUACUCCCACGGGCCGCUGCCCUCGCGAAAUAUCGAUCCUCGUGCUCUCGACUGCGUGGCUGCCGGAAGUGGGUGGAACGAGGAAUUACGUUACGGAGGCGAGACUCGACGAUAAUCGUCGCUGCACUUUUCCAGAUCGUACUUGCGCGUCAUACAGGCAGGAAAAAUGUAUUUAGAACAACGUGGAACAAGUUUAUCGGGAUGAAUAAACAGCGAAUUCUUAUUUUUACAGACUCAAUCGGACACACGGAAUUGAAAUAAAAAUUUAUUUCGUCCAAUGUGAAUCACAAUAAACGCUAUGCUUUCGAUGUUUCCUACGUUUCUGUAUGUUACGUUCGUUUGCCUUUCGAAAUCGGCUACGAAUUCAUAAAUGUCCGCAGUCGUCCAACAUCUUUCGGACGAAGGAAGAACAUCUGCGAUAGAUUUACGAACGCAACCGUUUUAAAGGAAAAUUAAAAAGGCCAGGGAAAUAUAUUCGUUGUAAUCGUCGUUGUCCAACCGAGUGCGUAGUUAAACCGCGUGCACGUGAAAAAGUGAUUAGCGAUCAACAACAAAGUGCAGGAUUAUUUGCCGAGAAGAAGAACGCUCCGAAGGGAGAAGUAUCGUAAAUGAAAUGCGUAGAAGGAAAAAUAAUACAGAUCGACCCUGACCACGCGUAUUCGGUCGGGGUUACCAUGUUGGUUGGUUCGCAGGUAAUCGCCACGAGAACUUACGCGGAAGAUAAGCUUCACUGAAUUCCGUCGUCGUAUAAUAAAACGUUGGAAAAACCCGCGUGUCAGGUAGGAAGAAGAAACAGUUUCUUUUAGAGGGAAACGUGCGAGAGGAAACCUAAAAUCCUACCAUAAAACGAUAAUCGACUUACAACAGCGGUACUUUGGCUCAAACGUGUUCCGAAGAGGCGGUAGAAAAAGCGAGGAAAAAGGGACGAUAGUCCCAGAUGUAGAUUUUUUUUCCUCUCUUUUGUCUUUCCUUUUCGUUUUUUUCUUACUUUUGGAAAGACAGUAAACCGAACCAACCAUCGAACGACUGCCAUACAAAGAGCUUAGUAGCAAUUUUUAUAGUCGCAUGGACGAGGAUUGGAAUUGUUACAAUUAACAGGCAAUUUCCUUGAUAAAUUUUUCGAUGGGACGUAGAUAAUACGAAGAAACCAUUGAUAUAGAAUUUAUAGUAAAUCGUUGGAAAUAUCAGCGUGGUUAAAAUCUCUGAUUCGUAAAUUUGUUGAGAAAUUUUCCAAAUUUACAAUGCAGCGAUUUGUGCAGAAUGUUUUUGUCAUAUACCUUUUUAAUUCUUUCGUGCGAAUUCCAUGAAUCGCUUUCCUAAACGCACCACGCAAAGGGAGAAGCAUCGAGACUAAAGCGAGAAAAGAUUCGAUUCGUAGCAACGGAUCGCUUUAUCGUAACACAUUUCUCGGUUUUUACCUAAGCUUCGAUCGAAACAAUGUUUUGCUAUCAUCACCUACACUAUGGUAUACAUAUAUCGAGCCUUUUACUGUUUCAGACGAUCUUCGUGGGAGGCUGUGCACCGAAGACAAACAGCCAUACACAAGAAUAACAUCUUUCGCGUUCCGCUAAUCACAACACUCGGUGCUGCCUGUACACAGACGUAGAGACGACGAUGGAAAAACAUAGCGCGGUCGUCGUUCGAGCCGAUGGAAAAAGUACCGUUUCUAUCGGCGGGUUAAUGAAGUGGCCUGCGCGCAAGAACUGUUUUUGUUCAAAACAUACGAACGUAAUUACAGAUAAAAAUCCAUACUAUUUUAAUCCUCAUCUAUUCUUUCCUUUUUUUUUUUUUUUUUUUUUGGUAAUUGGUAAUUUGGCAAGACUAUUGCUAUUUUAAUACAGCGAUUUGCAAAAUGAAAGGACGAUACGAAUAAUAAAUUUACCAAACACGCGUAUCACGAUCCUACAGGGAUUUUGUAAUAUCUUAACAAAUAGACAGACAAAUCAUCGAUCCGACAGUUUUCUUCGUGUACAUUUUCUUUUAUUAAAGUCUCAAGAAUAUACGUGUACAUAUGAUUAUGUAUUAAAACAAUCCAUCCGAAAAUGUGUGACACUGAACUAUCUGAUAAUCAUCCUCUUUGUGUAUGUAUAACGCUUUGUGUAUUUUCUAACUCGACGUAUAAAACCGUGACAACACAUUUUAGCCACAAGUGAAGUAUAAUACGUAUAGAGGUGAAAAGAUCGUGAGGAUUCUAUUUAGUACCUUUAAUGGAAAAUUUGACGCGCUAUUAUUAUCAGGCUACGGUUAUGCUUAACGAUUAUGGACACCGGUUAUUCUUAACUUAAGUGUUAGGGGCAUCCAGUAGAAAGGUCACUUUUAAUGCGAAAUUACCCUCCGAUCGGUUGUCCGAUUAAAAAAUACAAUGGAAACCUGAGCGUUCGGCACGAUCUUAAUGGCACUUCGAGAAUUAUUUGAUCGAGUAAUUACGGAUGCGCAGUGCGUUUCGAUCAUGCACACGGUGUAUAAUACAGGCCACGAUAUAGCCAGGCUGUAAAUUAAUCUUUCGUCCACAGUGUCCUUGAAACUGAAACCGUUUUUUAUGCAGAGAAAUUAGGGGUGAAAAAACGGGUGAAAAUUCCGUUUUCGACGAUUAUCAUCGCGUCUAAACUUUUCCACGAAAAGAGUUACAUGAUAGGAAUUACAUGGAAAUUUAUCGAGACUUAGAUAUUAAAUAAACAUUAAAUUCGCUAUGUGUACUUUUAUUUCCGAGUUCCACAUUGUGAAACAGAAAACGAUCGAUGCUAUUUCAUUUACAGAUCGAGAAGCUACAAAUAUAUUAAUCAUCGUUAAUGCAAAUUGAAAAAUAAAAGACAGAUCGUAAUAUAAAUAUAAAUUUGUAUUUUGACGUGUUACAUGAAGGACGACGAUAUCAAAAAUGUUCUCGUACACACUUAACCGAGCUUUUAGAUUCUUAUACGCAUAGUUGUAUUUUUCUGUCAACUUCAUUGUCCUGACACUCGAAACACGAUCGUUAGAACUUUGCUAUAUCAUGGCUCGUACUAUCUGAUUAUACAUUUCAUGUAAAUAUCGUGAUUACGUUGAUUCGUGCGAUCGUUAAGUACUCUAUUUAGGUAUACGUGAAUUACAGUUACUAUAUGUAUAUAUAUAUAUUUUAUUUUUCUUUUUACCGUGUAUAAAGUAAUUAGCAAAUGAGAUAGACCCCGUUUUUAGAAACUUGUCCAUUAUAUAAAUUAGAUUCGAAAUUAUCGUUAUAAGUUACGAUCAUAGCCGCGUGUCACUGAAACUUAUUCCAUGGGAAUAAACAUAGAAUAAUAAUAAUAGUAAAAUACUGAUAUAAUAAUAGAAACGUAGAAACGUCUUGAAUAAAAUUACUUGCAUCUAUGUAAUUCCUGCUAUCGCAGGAAAAAAAUGAUUUUUCAAUGAAAAUGCUAAAUUUCGUCAAAAUUUGAUAAAAUUCUAAUGUAAAAUUUGCAGAUACGAUUUAUUAAAAUUUCACAGACAUUUACCAAGUCUAUCUCUACUUGAAUUACCCUGCCACCCUCUGUAAUCUAUUUCUUCCCUUCUUUUUCUCCAUUUGUUCAUUGGAAUUUUUUGUGUACUCGUUAACAAUGGGACAAGUAUUGUGCUACGUAAAUUCCAAAUGAAAGUUGCUUAAAAAUUAAAUAACAAAACUUUUAGAUAUUUUAUAUAUACCUAUACAUAAAUAUACAGGCUGACCCACGAAUUGGUCGCCACGAUUUUUCAAACAUUACCGAUUAACCGACAAGAAAGUUAAUCAACUUUCAAUCGGCUUCCAAGUUAUUUAUAUCGCGGUUUGCAGCCGAUCGAAAGCUGAUCAACUUCCAUUCGAAACAUUUCUGCGUCAUAUUACUGGAAAUGGUGGAAAUAUCGUGCACCACCCUGUAUAUAUUUUGUAUGAGAAAUAUUUGUAUUAUUCUAAUGAUAUUUUGAAUUACAGAGAGCCUCAAUUGUGUCGAAUCGUGGAACACAUUUUUCUAUAAAUAUGUAUGUUUAAAAUAUCCUGGAAACGAGCGCGACAAUAGGCGCAAUGCUCGAACAAAUUCAAAUAGGCGAACAAAUUCCUAAAAAUGGAAUGAAAAUCACUGUAUAAAAAAAAUAACAGAAAAGAAAAUAAUAAUAAACGAUACUCUGAAAUUACCGAGUGAAUACGAUAAAAGAGAGUAAAAUAGCGUUUGCUAAAAAAAAAAAAA